CCCGUCACGUCAUGGAAGUGGAUGGUACCAGAAGCGGGUAGCUUAACUGCAAAGAGAGCGCUUGCCACGGUAUGAUUCAUGACUGGGACG
rnacentral:rRNA from 1 species